rnacentral:ncRNA from 2 species
GACUAGCUCUCGCCACUGUGUAAUUAAUACAUGGGAAGGCGCUAGUUCUACUGACAGUGAUCAGAUGCUCAUAAGCCCGGAGACCGGCCUGAGAACUUAAUUUAAG